rnacentral:rRNA from 1 species
AUGGCCGACGACCCCGCCUCCGCCGCGCCCUCCUCCGCCGACCAAGACGAGGAGGGCACCGAUAGCGACGCCUCCAACGACUCCCACCCACCCGCUGCCCAGGAGGCCCCGCCUCCACCCUUCCCCGACACCUCGGCCCCCGCCUUCCCCGAACCGGCCGGUCCAGUUCCGCCGCAGGGGGCGAGUGCCGCGGCGGCGGCGGAGGACUCGCGGCGGCUGUUCCAGCGGCUGUGGACGGACGAGGAGGAGCUGCUCAUCCUGCGCGGGUUCCUCGACUUCACGUCGCGCCGGGGCACCGCCUUCGCCUCCCACCAGUACGACACGGGGCCCUUCUACGAGGAGAUCCGCCGGAAGCUCUCCUUCGACUUCUCCAAGAACCAGCUCAUCGAGAAGCUGCGCCGCCUCAAGAAGAAGUACCGCGUCUGCGCCACCCGCAUGGCCGCGCAGGGCGCCGCCUUCGCCUUCAAGAGCGCGCACGAGGGCGCCAUCUACGACGUCGCGCGCCACAUCUGGCGCCCGGCCUUCAAGCGCGACGGCGCCGGGGGCGACGCCUCGGACGAGGACGACAUCAACCCCGCAGAAGCAGCGGCAGUCGCAGAGGGUGGUGGCGGAGGCGCGUCUGCGCACACCCCUCGGGGCAGGGGCUCGCGGCGUGGUGGAAGGAAGAGGAUGGCGCAGGAGAUUGAGGCGCCCACAUUCCCUGCAACGCCUGCUCCGAUGUUGACCGAUGCGGCUCAGGAGCAAGCUAUUGCGGCGUUCGAGAGUUCCGUGCCGGUGAUUGCACAGCCACCCUCAGUGCCGGCAGCGCCAUUGCCUCCUUAUCCGCUGACAGCCAAUGGCCCCACUGAAGCUGAUGUCCGGAGCAUCCUGUCACCGCUGCUGAAGGAGCUCAUCAGCUCGGUUGCUGUUCCAGGGCAGACCGGACUAGGAUUGGGCUUGGGCAUGGGAUUCGGGGGUGCUGAUAUUCUUGGCGUUGGUCUUGGGGUGGCCGGACUGAGCCCUCGGGUGCCCGGUGAUGAGAAGUGGAGGCAGCAGCAGAUUCUUGAGCUGGAGGUCUACCUCAAGAGGCUCGAGCUUGUCCGGGAGCAGGUCAUGACGGUGCUACAAGAACUCAGGUCAUCAGAAAGCUGA